AGGCCAUGAUGCGGGCAAAGGCUCAUCAUUUAUUUGUACCUUUCCCAUGUCAAAGAGAGAUUAUCCAUCAUCUUAUCUAAAACAAGUGAUCUGAUUUCUUAAACU